rnacentral:rRNA from 1 species
UUCGACUGUUUACCAAAAACAUAGCCCCGCUUUACCAAUGCGGGGUGCAACCUGCUCAAUGGCUGGGAAUAAAGUUGAAAAACCAUAACACCAGUUAAAUAGCCGCGGUAACUCUGACCGUGAUAAAGUAGCAUAAUCAUUUGUCAUUUAAUUGGUGACUAGAAUGAAUGGUUAAACGAAUCUCUAGCUGUCUCAACAAGAAAUGAAACAAAAUUAAAAUUACAGUGAAGAUGCUGCGGAUAAAUUGCAAGACGAAAAGACCCUAUUGAGCUUUACUGGAUAUUUGUGAACUUCUCUUACCAUAAUAAUAUAAGUGAUCUAUAAAGCAAAUAAGACAGUUUGGUUGGGGCGACCACCUCUAAAAUAGUAACAGAGGAGAUCUAAAGGUUAAAUUUAUGAACGCUAACUUUACUGAAAUAAUAAUAAUUUAAUCAGUUACUAACUAAGUAGGACAUAAUGACCCGCUAUUUUUUAUGUAAAAAAUAACGAUUACAGAAUAAGUUACCAUAGGGAUAACAGGGUAAUAGUUUUCAAGAGUUCAUAUCGACGAAACUGUUUGCCACCUCGAUGUUGAAUUGUGAUAUCCUAAAGGUGUAGCAGCUUUUAAGGGUUGGUCUGUUCGACCAUAAAAAUCUUACAUGAUUUGAGUUCAUUCCGUA